rnacentral:lncRNA from 1 species
GAGGAUACAUGACCUCCCUGCCACAUACACACAGACAGGCACACCCAUUUACUUCUUCCAUCCUGUCUCUUGCUAACAUCGGGUAGCCUAAAACGAGAGAUUCAUUCAUUAGCAUGCAGAUGGCAUAAGGGAAGGCAUGGUGCUAACACUUUGUUAUGAAUUAACUAGAUAUAUUUCCCACCCUGUGGAACUAACUGUAGGCUAUGGAAGUGGAUAGUGGGGAAGGCGAGAAACUGGAAAGGCAAGGGAAUGGGUGGGCAUCAAUGUGGAAAGAAGGUCCUGACUUACAGUGUCGAGAUUGCUUUAUCUGUUUAAAACACUUUACAAACAUGU